rnacentral:lncRNA from 1 species
CACACACUUUUAAUUCCAGCAUUCUGAAGGCAGCGGCAGGUGGAUUUCCUGGCUUACAAGAACCUCAAAUUCAAUCAGUGUCCUGCUGUUCAAAGGUAUUUUGAAAUGUGCCAAAUCUUAAUUGAUGUGGAAGUGCCUGGAACCAGAGUUAAUACCUGGAGCGACGGGGAGCCCAAAUUAUGGAGGAACCCAGGAACCUGUGGCCGCUGGUGGCUACAGGUGGUGCCCGACGAGUGGCCUGAAAGCGGAAAGAAGGACUCGGGGUACACUGUUUUGGUGAGGCUCCACAGAAAACAGAAGAUGUAUUCUGCAUGUAGGUCAGUUACUUCCAUACAGACUCACCUUCAGCAAAGCUCAGGUGGCUGUUAUUCUUCGAUAUGAAGAGACGCAUUGAGUGCAUAUUGUGGCUUUGGUCUGAAUAAGAAAAAGGAACCCAGUAACCUGUGGUUGCUGGCAGCUACAAUGUAGAACUCUCAGCUAGUUUUGCAUCGAGCCUGCCUAGAUGCUACCCUGCUGCCACCAUGAAGAUGAUGGACUGAACCCUUGAACUUGUGAGCUAGCCCCAAUUAAAUGUUGUCCUUUAUAAGA